rnacentral:rRNA from 1 species
GCUUGCGGCGUGCUUAACACAUGCAAGUCGAACGGAAAGGCCCUGCUUUUGUGGGGUGCUCGAGUGGCGAACGGGUGAGUAACACGUGAGUAACCUGCCCUUGACUUUGGGAUAACUUCAGGAAACUGGGGCUAAUACCGGAUAGGAGCUCCUGCUGCAUGGUGGGGGUUGGAAAGUUUCGGCGGUUGGGGAUGGACUCGCGGCUUAUCAGCUUGUUGGUGGGGUAGUGGCUUACCAAGGCUUUGACGGGUAGCCGGCCUGAGAGGGUGACCGGCCACAUUGGGACUGAGAUACGGCCCAGACUCCUACGGGAGGCAGCAGUGGGGAAUAUUGCACAAUGGGCGGAAGCCUGAUGCAGCAACGCCGCGUGCGGGAUGACGGCCUUCGGGUUGUAAACCGCUUUCGCCUGUGACGAAGCGUGAGUGACGGUAAUGGGUAAAGAAGCACCGGCUAACUACGUGCCAGCAGCCGCGGUGAUACGUAGGGUGCGAGCGUUGUCCGGAUUUAUUGGGCGUAAAGGGCUCGUAGGUGGUUGAUCGCGUCGGAAGUGUAAUCUUGGGGCUUAACCCUGAGCGUGCUUUCGAUACGGGUUGACUUGAGGAAGGUAGGGGAGAAUGGAAUUCCUGGUGGAGCGGUGGAAUGCGCAGAUAUCAGGAGGAACACCAGUGGCGAAGGCGGUUCUCUGGGCCUUUCCUGACGCUGAGGAGCGAAAGCGUGGGGAGCGAACAGGCUUAGAUACCCUGGUAGUCCACGCUGUAAACGGUGGGUACUAGGUGUGGGGUCCAUUCCACGGGUUCCGUGCCGUAGCUAACGCUUUAAGUACCCCGCCUGGGGAGUACGGCCGCAAGGCUAAAACUCAAAGGAAUUGACGGGGCCCCGCACAAGCGGCGGAGCAUGCGGAUUAAUUCGAUGCAACGCGUAGAACCUUACCUGGGUUUGACAUGGAUCGGGAGUGCUCAGAGAUGGGUGUGCCUCUUUUGGGGUCGGUUCACAGGUGGUGCAUGGCUGUCGUCAGCUCGUGUCGUGAGAUGUUGGGUUAAGUCCCGCAACGAGCGCAACCCUUGUUCACUGUUGCCAGCACGUUAUGGUGGGGACUCAGUGGAGACCGCCGGGGUCAACUCGGAGGAAGGUGGGGAUGACGUCAAGUCAUCAUGCCCCUUAUGUCCAGGGCUUCACGCAUGCUACAAUGGCUGGUACAGAGAGUGGCGAGCCUGUGAGGGUGAGCGAAUCUCGGAAAGCCGGUCUCAGUUCGGAUUGGGGUCUGCAACUCAACCUCAUGAAGUCGGAGUCGCUAGUAAUCGCAGAUCAGCAACGCUGCGGUGAAUACGUUCCCGGGGCUUGUACACACCGCCCGUCAAGUCAUGAAAGUUGGUAACACCCGAAGCCGGUGGCCUAACCGUUGUGGGGGAGCCGUCGAAGGUGGGACUGGUGAUUAGGA